rnacentral:rRNA from 1 species
GAUGAACGCUGGCGGCGUGCCUAACACAUGCAAGUCGAACGGAUGCCUUCGGGCAUUAGUGGCGCACGGGUGAGUAACACGUGGUUGAUCUACCCUCAAGUAGGGGAUAACGUUCCGAAAGGAAUGCUAAUACCCUAUAAGCUCCCGGUGUUUAGAAGACUGGGAGAAAAGUUCCGGCGCUUGAGGAGGAGACUGCGAACCAUCAGCUAGUUGGUGAGGUAAAGGCUUACCAAGGCGACGACGGUUAGGGGACCUGAGAGGGUCGGCCCCCCACACUGGAACUAGAGAACGACGGUCCGACGACUCCUACGGGAGGCAGCAGUGAGGAAUAUUGCACAAUGGGCGCAAGCCUGAUGCAGCGACGCCGCGUGGGUGAUGAAGGCUUUCGGGU